rnacentral:rRNA from 1 species
AACGAACGCUGGCGGCGUGCUUAACACAUGCAAGUCGAACGCGAAAGGGACUUCGGUCCUGAGUAAAGUGGCGCACGGGUGAGUAACGCGUAGAUAACCUGUCUUCAUGUCUGGAAUAAUACGCCGAAAGGGGUACUAAUACCGGAUAUUCUUGCUUUUCAUAAGUUAUGCAAGCAAAGGUGGCCUCUGCAUAUGCUACUGCAUGAAGAGGGGUCUGCGUACCAUUAGCUAGUAGGUGGGGUAAUGGCCUACCUAGGCGACGAUGGUUAGCGGGUCUGAGAGGAUGAUCCGCCACACUGGCACUGGAACACGGGCCAGACUCCUACGGGAGGCAGCAGUGAGGAAUAUUGCGCAAUGGGGGAAACCCUGAUGCAGCGACGCCGCGUGAGUGAGGAAGGCCUUCGGGUCGUAAAGCUCUGUCAAGAGGAAAGAAGUGUACAAUGGCUAAUACCUGUUGUAUUUGACGGUACCUCUAAAGGAAGCACCGGCUAACUCCGUGCCAGCAGCUGC